rnacentral:rRNA from 1 species
GAUGAACGCUGGCGGCGUGCCUAAUACAUGCAAGUCGAGCGAACGGACGAGAAGCUUGCUUCUCUGAUGUUAGCGGCGGACGGGUGAGUAACACGUGGAUAAUCUCCCUAUAAUACUGGGAUAACUUCGGGAAACCGGCGCUUAUACCGGAUAAUAUUUUGAACCGCAUGGUUCAAAAGUGAAAGACGGCCUUGCUGUCUCUUAUAGAUGGAUCCGGGCUGCUUUAGCUAGUUGGUAAGGUAACGGCUUACCAAGGCAACGAUGCAUAGCCGACCUGAGAGCGUGAUCGGCCACACGGGAACUGAGACCCGGUCCAGACGCCUACGGGAGGCAGCAGUAGGGAAUCUUCCGCAAUAGGGGAAAGCCUGACGGAGCAACGCCGCGUGCGAGAUGAAGAUCUUCGGACCGGAAAACUCUGUUAUUAGGGAAGAACAUAUGUGUAAGGAACUGUGCCCAUCUUGACGGUAACUACUCAGAAAGCCCCGGCUAACUACGUG